rnacentral:lncRNA from 1 species
GCUGGUUCAAGCUUAGGUGAAGCCAAAGUAUUGCAAUGCCUGCAUAUAACUUAGAGAAGUCCUCCGCAGUGUGAGCUAUCUAGAGACUGUCCUUAAUCUCCACUGCCAUUUGUAACGUCGUUUGAAUUGCUGCUCAAGGAACACACAAGCAAAAAAUUAAAAGAAAUUGACAAUUCUUUCAACGUUUAUAUUCAUUUUACAAGAGAACCAAACAGAAAACCAAACAGAGAAUAAAAAUGUUUAUAUAUUUGGCUUCA